UGCACUGUGGUAUCCAGGGCUGCACGAAU
rnacentral:sRNA from 1 species